AAGUUGUUCCGGAUUGAUUUUACAAGAUGUGGAACAUCAAAUAUGAGUGGAAUUUGUCUUUGUAGGAUGCAGUGUGAUCCAUUGCCAUCCUCAUUGAUGUCCAAGAAAGCACCAAGGGAUCUCAUGGCCUUCACAUUUGUGGACCCCUGGUCACAGACAAUGCAUCUGACCUGAAACACUGUCGAGGCGGGUGAUGGCUUCCUUUAGUUUCCUGGCAAUCUCAUCACCUGUCAUGGCAGAUUUGCACAGGAAAUAGCUGAUUGCCUAAAAGACCUGCUUCCAUUUUCCAUUUAUGGCCCUAGCCAGGAACACCAUAACUUAACGAGCCUGGAAGCCAUCUGGUGUAAGACCAUCAAUUGAGUCUGUUUUCCUGUCGUAGUCAAGGUGGCAUUGUAUAGACAUCUUGUCCAGCACAAGGGAACAGAUC